rnacentral:rRNA from 1 species
GUGUCAGCAGCCGCGGUAAUACAGGGGGGGCAAGCGUUGUUCGGAAUUACUGGGCGUAAAGGGUUUGUAGGUGGCUCGCUAAGUCAUACGUGAAAUCCCUCAGCUUAACUGGGGAACUGCGUCUGAUACUGGAGAGCUUGAGUGCAGGAGAGGAACGCGGAAUUCCAGGUGUAGCGGUGAAAUGCGUAGAUAUCUGGAGGAACACCGGUGGCGAAGGCGGCGUUCUGGACUGCAACUGACACUGAGAAACGAAAGCCAGGGGAGCAAACGGGAUUAGAAACCCUCGUAGUCC